UGACUUUUGUAGACAGAGUCCUCUGUCAUGAG
rnacentral:piRNA from 1 species